CCUAUUCGAGGCCUCUUUUUCGCUUCUGCUGUGCGAGCGUGCGUGCGUUGAGUGAGACGGCAAAGCUAAGUAAGUGAGCUCACUCAGCUGAGGAAAUAGCAGAAGGGGAGGAGAGGUGCUCGAAGGAAAAGUUGGCGGUGUAACGAGAGCGCCCACUAAGAAGAAGGUGAACAUGAGAUGGAGGGCGAGGAGUGGGCGGCAGAGGUGAGGUGGCGUUUACGGCGGGUUCCACAGGCGGCAGCGGCGGCCGCUCCGGGUGUGCGAGCGUGAGUGGUCAUUGCCCCUCGACAUGAGUACCCCCGCCCCGUGCAAGCCGGCGGAACCGUGGCCAGCGCUCCGCCUGCACGUGCACGGGUGGCGACAGCACGGGCGGCAGCGACGAGGACGACGCCCCUCCGUCGCCGGGUCCAAGUGGCGACAGCGGCGGCCGCGCAUGGUGUCGGAGCGCGAGCUGCUACUUCCGAGUGAGACCAGUACCCCGAUGUUAUAGACAUAGGAAAUAUGACGAACACAAUAAACCUUGAAACAGUAUAGCUUUAGCGAGAUCAUUAUAGUAACGGUUCAACGGUAAUAGCUGAUAAAUUGAAAGAACUGAUAGAUUGCCUGCCAGUCGAACCGAUACCUCUUCUCUUAAGGGAAAGAGGUACAAAUCAGCUGCCAAAAGUUCUAAACCCAAGAGGACUUUGUGACGUCCUGCUUCUUGUCUUACGAGAACGUGCCUGAGGAAACUUCAACAGAAGACACUUCCGACCCCCGUACUACAGUAAGCGUUAUCUGUCAGAACCCCGGGACACCUACACCCCUUUAACGGGCGUCGUCUGACUACUACCCCUCAAAACAUAUCGUCGAUGGAGUCGGGGUGACGGACACACCCUAAAGGUACCAGUGUGACAUCAAUUCCAACGGACGCCAUUACUUGUACAACACCGACGGCAGUCGCGACCUCUUUGUAUAUGUCCUCCACUGGAACAGACAAUAAGGACCCCGUUGUUGUUGGUACCCGUCAACCCAGACCCACUGUUCCUUUCGUCCAGAGCAGGGCACGAGUAGAGUCUUAAAUCACUCCCGAGAAGUACCCUCCACAUACUUUAACGUACGCCUCGAACCGUGUGACGACACGAGUGGUUAUUCUUCAGAAAACUAGUCCUAGAACUUAGAGCCACGACCUGUAAACCGUAACCGCUGUUACCUGUCGAACCGGUACCUUGUUGACGGUGGUAGACGAGGGGCGUCGGACAACUGCCGAACGGGUGACCAAGGAAGGAGUAGAGAGAACUAACACCUAACAAGGUGUGCCGUCAGCAGAGGAGGCUACCUCUCCACACCACGACCCCUUACCUCUCUCCAGAGCCUAACACGGGUCUACGAUCGAAAAGUCCUUACCUGCGUCCCCUACGAGACAUGGGGUAUUCUCAAGUCAGAGGACUCUGCUUACCCAAGUUCAAAGACCCAGGUCACGUCCAACGGACACCUCGACGGGUGUGACAAGAACAACGGCCACUCCCCAUGUCCUACACCCGUACCCCGGCACCGGCGUCGCCGCACGAACCCUCUCUGGUCUGAUGACUGUCAAUGUGAGGUACGCAACACUACACCGGAGGAGAACUACUCUUGAAGGUUCUCUAAGUACUCCUGGUUCCCGUCCGUAGCUGUAGUUCUCGCUUACUGGCGUGAUUGUGGCUCGACCUCGACUUCAAUAGACGACGGAGUCUCCUCGAUGUCAAGGAAUCCAGUUUUGACUGUGAGUACCUCUCUAUACGGUUGUAUGAAGUGUAAAGUUAUAAGGCGUUCGGUUACCUGCUUUCCUGCGAAGGAGCAAGUGAAGUUCUCAGACGUCAGAAACUGUAGUCCUUCCUUAAACUCUUGUAGAACCUAAGCAGUCUAUGACUACUUGAGCGAGCGAACCUCUACAAAAUGGCAUCGUACGAAAGACCACACUUCCUGUUCGAAGAGUUCUCUUUUCAAGUUCACUACCAGGUCCUUACGUAACAAAGUGAGAGACGUCCCUCCGUUUGGGGCGCACCAGUCACUCAACCUUCUGUCAACAAUAUUUGACGUAAAAGUGACAUGUCUUAGGUUGGAUAUAAUACACAAUUUUAGCGUUAUUCGAGAGACACGUUUGGACAACAAAGUGGAUCAAACAGUUUGAAAGAUGACGUUGCAUCUGGUUAAUAAACCAUAUAGUGGAUGGUGACUACCAGUGAACCGACUGGUUAAAUACCCGUGCUAGACACGAUAGCGUAUUAACAUCCCAAAUAGCACAAUAAAGAGGCACAAUUAAUAAGAGUGAUACAUGUAAUAGAUUCUAGUCGAUA
rnacentral:rRNA from 1 species